UUUCCGUAGGUGAACCUGCGGAAGGAUCAUUAUUGUAUAACCGAGGUGCGAGGGCUGUCGCUGACCCGAAAGGUCGUGCACGCCCGAGUGCCCUCACACACAUUCAUCUCACCCCUAUGUGCACCACCGCGUGGGUCCCCCUUUGGCUUGUUCGGAGGGGGGCUUACGUUUUCACACAAACUUUGUAUGCAGUGUAGAAUGUAUUUUUUGUUUUUGCGAUCACGCAAUCAAUACAACUUUCAACAACGGAUCUCUUGGCUCUC
rnacentral:misc_RNA from 1 species